rnacentral:rRNA from 1 species
GACGAACGCUGGCGGCGUGCUUAACACAUGCAAGUCGAACGGAAAGGCCCUGCUUUUGUGGGGUGCUCGAGUGGCGAACGGGUGAGUAACACGUGAGUAGCCUGCCCUUGACUUUGGGAUAACUGCAGGAAACUGGGGCUAAUACCGGAUAGGAGCGCCUGCUGCAGGGUGGGGGUUGGAAAGGUUGGGCGGUGGGGGAUGGACUCGCGGCUUAUCAGCUGGUUGGGGGGGUAGUGGCUUACCAAGGCUUGGGGGGGUAGCCGGCCUGAGUGGGUGACCGGCCACAUUGGGACUGGGAUCCGGCCAAGACUCCUACGGGAGGAAGAAGUGGGGAAUAUUGAACAAUGGGCGGAAGCCUGAUGAAGAAACGCCGCGUGCGGGAUGACGGCCUUCGGGUUGUAAACCGCUUUAGCCUGUGCCGAAGCGUGAGUGACGGUAAUGGGUAAAGAAGCACCGGCUAACUACGUG